rnacentral:sRNA from 1 species
CAAUAGCCCCGAUGGCAGCGAGUAUCCUUUUUAUCUUUUUCUUAAAAACAGAUAAAAAGAUACUGCGUACAGCGGGUGAUACU